rnacentral:rRNA from 1 species
AUACGUAGGUGGCAAGCGUUGUCCGGAAUUAUUGGGCGUAAAGCGCAUGUAGGCGGUGCCUUAAGUCUGUCGUGAAACUGCGGGGCCUAACCCCGUAUGGCGAUGGAAACUGUGGCACUUGAGUGCAGGAGAGGAAAGGGGAACUCCCAGUGUAGCGGUGAAAUGCGUAGAUAGUGGGAAGAACACCGGUGGCGAAGGCGCCUUUCUGGACUGUGUCUGACGCUGAGAUGCGAAAGCCAGGGUAGCGAACGGGAUUAGAUACCCCGGUAGUCCUGGCCGUAAACGAUGGGUACUAGGUGUGGGAGGUAUCGACCCCUUCCGUGCCGGAGUUAACGCAAUAAGUACCCCGCCUGGGGAGUACGGCCGCAAGGCUUAAACUCAAAUGAAUUGACGGGG